rnacentral:rRNA from 1 species
GACGAACGCUGGCGGCGUGCUUAACACAUGCAAGUCGAACGGAAAGGCCCUGCUUUUGUGGGGUGCUCGAGUGGCGAACGGGUGAGUAACACGUGAGUAACCUGCCCUUGACUUUGGGAUAACUUCAGGAAACUGGGGCUAAUACCGGAUAGGAGCUCCUGCUGCAUGGUGGGGGUUGGAAAGUUUCGGCGGUUGGGGAUGGACUCGCGGCUUAUCCGCUUGUUGGUGGGGUAGGGGCUUACCAAGGCUUUGACGGGUAGCCGGCCUGGGAGGGUGACCGGCGACAUGGGGACUGAGAUAGGGCCCAGACUCCUACGGGAGGCAGCAGUGGGGAAUAUUGCACAAUGGGCGGAAGUCUGAUGCAGCAACGCCGCGUGCGGGAUGACGGCCUUCGGGUUGUAAACCGCUUUCGCCUGUGACGAAGCGUGAGUGACGGUAAUGGGUAAAGAAGCACCGGCUAACUACGUG